GCUGGGGAUAAGGCUCAGUUGGAGAGUGCUUGCCUCCCAUGCACAGUGCCCUGAGUUCAAUCCGCAGCUCCACCA
rnacentral:tRNA from 1 species